CGCAGAGAAUAGGCCCAAGCGACUGUUUACCAAAAACAUAGGUUUCUGCUAAGUCGCAAGACGAUGUAUAGGAGCUGACGCCUGCCCGGUGCUGGAAGGUUAAGGGGAUCUGUUAGAGCAAUCGAAGCAGUGAACUUAAGCCCCAGUAAACGGCGGCCGUAACUAUAACGGUCCUAAGGUAGCGAAAUUCCUUGUCGGGUAAGUUCCGACCCGCACGAAAGGCGUAA
rnacentral:rRNA from 1 species